UAGGGUCUCCGUCUGGCAAUUCCCCCCAGAUGCCUGAAGGUGUGUGUGGUGGAAGAGGAUAGAAACCAGACUCCAACAGUCAGGUAAAGAAGACCAAUUCCUCCCACCUACUCCUCCUAUUGCUACUGUCCGGCAAGUGUGUCUGAGUGGGCACGUGUGCAUUUACUCGCACGCAUACACACGCACACACGCAGAAAUGGCACAUGAAAGCGGGUGAUCUACGAUGCCAGGAAUCCUGGGUGAUGCCAGGAAUCGUAGGGUGAUCUACGAUGCCAGGAAUCCUCCUUACACCGGGUGUUCAAAGAGCAGGAGCAAGAACCUGAGGAACCGAUCGUUCAUGCAAAACCGCCACCGCCCCCCUUCCCAGCGUCCACAUGGUUUCCCAGCCUCGGAAGCGCGCUGGUAGGGCGGGACCCCGUCCCUCACUUUGCUCUCCUUUCCCGAGCA